rnacentral:rRNA from 1 species
UACGUAGGGUGCAAGCGUUGUCCGGAAUUAUUGGGCGUAAAGAGCUCGUAGGCGGUUCGUCGCGUCGGCUGUGAAAACCCGGAGCUCAACUCCGGGCCUGCAGUCGAUACGGGCGGACUUGAGUGUUGCAGGGGAGACUGGAAUUCCUGGUGUAGCGGUGAAAUGCGCAGAUAUCAGGAGGAACACCGGUGGCGAAGGCGGUUCUCUGGGCAUGUCCUGACGCUGAGGAGCGAAAGUGUGGGGAGCGAACAGG